rnacentral:lncRNA from 1 species
GUUGCCACCCCGGCUGCCUGAUAAGGCUCCUGCCUCCUGAUGUGAGGAGAGCCGGAGCUGCCAGCUCUGGUCUUCAGGAUUUUCUGGGAAGGAAGUUCCCCGGAUCAGAGAUUCUCAAAGCUGAUCCCUGAGCCAGCAUCAUCCGUGACACCUGAGAAAGGAUCAGAAGCCCUGAUGUCCUGGGAAAAGCAGAGGCUGGCCAUACAUGCCUCAGUGGUAGCACACGUGCCUGGAUAUUGGCUCUAACGGAGUUGGAGCCUAGUACCUUAGCAAGCAGCCAUGAGGAGACUGGCUCAGCACUGGGCAUAUCUGGAGCGUAUAUAUGAGACCUCAAGCCCACCCACGGUGACACUUCCUCCAACAAGGCCAUACUUUCUAAUAGUGCCAUUCCUUAUGAAAGAUGUUUAUACCCAGUGACAGCCACUACCCAGCCACCAGCGCAGGGCCUGAAAGCUGAGCCUACACUGGGAACUAUUUACUGUCAGCUGCUCUCUGUCAGCAGGCUCCGGAGCCACAGGGACUCUAAGGAAGCAAAGAUUGAGAGCCAGCUGAAGAGGAGAGAGAGGCUGCAGAGGAUACCUGAACCGGGGAGCUGGUUGGGUUCCCACAGGGCACUGCGAGGCGUUGCCUGGUGUUGGAGAACGAGCUGGCCCCUGGCUGAUCUUAAACAGCGCGGCUGAGGGCCAUAGCGAGGGUACUGUGUAAGCCAUGAAGCUUUGGGUCAUCGGCACCGCCAGUUCCCUGUGCUUCUAGCUCUGCAUGAAACCAAGGGCCAUAAAGGUAAGGUAUCAAGGGGACUGAUGAGGGAACAGGGAACAGCCUGAAAGUCUAAGAAUUCUACUCAGCCCAUCAGUGGGCCACGCUGGUGCCACAGGGACAUCUGACGUACUGGCUAGCUGUUCACCCACACUGGGAGGUGCCCACAGUACUGUCCUUGCUGUCCUAAACCUCUCACUUCCUAACCUUCUGGCCUGCCCGCUAGCUCACGUUCACAUUCAGAACAUUUCAGGGGCUGCUGAGGAGAGCCACGGUGAACAGGAGCCAGGUUGAGGGUAACGUGAGGUGGCUAGCAGGAUGAAACUGGAGUCCCAACUGCAGGAGGCCACCCAGAGAGAGCCUCUAAAGAGGGAACUGCAGACACCCUCCCAAUGGCAGAAGCUGCCCCUGGGAGGUGAUCUGUAAGCAUAUCUGAAGGACCCUGCCCUCCGUGAUCCUAAAGGAAGAAGAAGGGACCGAAAAAGGAAGGUGACAUCUCAGUGAUGCUUGUGUGUGUUCUAAGCAGAGGCGGCAGGAGUCCCUAAGGAGAAGGAGGAACUGCAGCUGAGGGGGCCAUGCAGGACACAGGGAGGACUGGCAAGAGAUCAAGACUGAGCUGGCCAAGACUGUACAUGGAAGAAUCCAACGCCAGCCAGAAGCUCACAGAGGAAGCGCUGUAGGUGAUUGGGCAAAUAGCUUAUCUGUGACUGGAUUCAUUCCAGAGGCAAACUGGGCUUAGCUGAAGGUUCACCUGUAGGGGACAGUGGUGGCAGUAUCACAGAGAGCAUCAAGGCCAUGAAACAAACCAAGCACAUUCCAGAAAAGCGGGCUGAUCAUUUUGACCUUCACACCUGCAGAGACUGUACGAUUAACACGAAGGACUCCCUCAGGGUCUCAUAGACCUAGGCUGGUCCAGGUGGGGACUGUGGCGAUGCCAGGAAAGGAAGAAAAGGUGUGAGAUGGGGAGAAGAUAAGAAGAGGGCUGCAGGAGUGAAGGCUGGGGCUAGCCCCAGCUCCCAAGUAUGCUGGCGACUCCAUGUGUCUGCUUCCUUCUGCUGCUCAGCUGCUGUAGCAAUGACAAUGACAGUUAUGGCUUCGAGAUAUUCUUAGCUGUAAGUCUAAUGUUUCAUCUGGAAUAAAUAUCAAACUUGGAUUAA